UGAACUAUUACAUAGUGUUUCAAUUUUGAAAACACAAACUAGGUAACCCUUAGGAGCUCUAAAACCAUACAUGUUACGUGCAUACCCAAAAUAAUCAAGACAUUCCAUGGCACUGUUGCCUAUUCUAGAAUAGACAAUAGUAAUGCUACAUGAACCUUUUUAUUCCCCCUCUCUUGAACCUUUUGAAAUAAGAAUGAGUAAGAACCUACAUAAAUUUCCCAGCCAUCUACACCCCAGAUUAAGCUAUGAGAGGGAAUGUUGACACAUGCAAGUUGCAUUUGACAUAUUUCCAAUCUGAGUCGAACAAAAUUGGAAAUUCCCUUCUUAUUCAAGAGAAAAAAAUUGCACUCACAACAUUAAACCAAUAGGAUGUCCAGUCCUUCAUGUUGAGGACAAGUUUGAGGUGGAGAACCUUUAUUUAUGUGAUAGUGAGGAAAUCACCAUACGAAGCAGGAUAUAUUGUUUAAAGUUAAUGCAUCAAUUGAAUGAGUUCAAGAAUGAAAGCAACAUCAAAGCUAAAGAAAGAGAGGUACACAAAUGAGGAACCUUCCCAUUACUAGUUUGGCCCCUUAAAAUGAUACUAGUAGUUUGUGACAAAUCUUUUUGUAUACUCUUCAAAUCGUGUAUUGAUCGUUCAAUAAUCAACAAAUAUAGAAAUGGAUUGAGCUUAGAAAACUGUAAUCCAAAACUGUAAUUUCUCUUUCAGUGAAAUGAUGAAUAAAUCAUUACAGAAGCAAUUUAGCCAAUAAGCACAGAACAAUAAAAGCCAAUUUUGAACGGCUAAACUUCUUAGUGCAUUAAGUUGAAUGUCUUGCCAAUUUUGAAAUACACCAACUUUACACCUUUCAGCUCCGCCAUUUACUUAUGUUCAAACCUUUGAAGUUUUUUCAUUAAAACAGCAACAAAAAACUAAGCUUUAUUCCCAAUAAAUUUGUGAGCUGGCUACAUGAACCUUUUGUCACUCUGCUCUUUUCAUUGCUAGA
rnacentral:lncRNA from 1 species